UCCAUUUACAAUAGUUGCUUCAGAUUCCCUUCACUCUAAUCAAUUCAAGCCAUUGAAUGCCAUAAUUAACCAUCUUGAAUGCUAGAAUCAACAAUUGCUGCUUCAAUUUCUCUUCACUGGUAUCGAUUGUUAUCAUUUUGAUGGUAUAAAUCAGAGUGAGUUGUUAGAGCUUCAUCUUUACUUCUAUUUGUUUCAGAUCGUUUGCGUUCUUGGUCACUCACAAUUUCAGGUUAUUCGAUGACAAAGGAGAGACAAGUUGUGGUAGAUCAGGCAACAGCGGUGGAUCUGGACACCGACGGCGACGACGGAAUAGGUUUCCAGCAAGUAUUCCGGUGACUACAGUGAUUUGGAGAAGUGUUUAGGGAAUAGCAGCGGUUUCGGGAAGCUUUGGUGGAAUGGUGGUCGUGUGAGCAGGUGGAUAAUGGGAUUGCGUCGACUUCAGGAUACUAGGAUACUGAUGGUAAAUUGAUAAUUGAGAUUGUGGUAUGCAUUUUUGUUAGUUUUGUUGUUCACCUUGAAUCUAGAAAUAAGGUAGGGUUUACACAGGUAUUGAAAGUUACUGAACUUGACAGCUACCAGACGCUGGUUAGACCACUUGAUCUUUCUCUCUUUUCAGCCGCAUUGAUACGCUACAACGGUAUUACUGCUGGCGACGUUGUUUCCUGCCCAACAUUCUCUGAGAUUGUAGAUAAGGUUUACGACAUCUUGCAAGCAAGAGUGUGGGCGGGUCUCAAUAUAGUGGAGUUUGAUUGUGUGAGGUUAAAGGAGGCGUAUGCGCAGAUAAACCAAAAACUUCCUGUACCCAAGGGAACCAUGGAUACAUUGAAAUUGUUGACUGGGACGUUUGGGAGGAGAACCGAUAACAUGAAGGAAAUAAAGAAAAGUGAUGAUUCUGAAGAGACAUUGCUUGAAAACAAAAGUCCCGAGGUGGAGGCAGUAGAAAUGCUGGUAAAAUGGAAGAAGAGAAAGGCGUCUGUUUCAGGUGAGUAGCUUUAUCACAAGAUUCAUUAUCAUUUGCAUGCUCCAGUGCAUAAUCUACAAUCCCUCUCAACCCAGAUUCCCACAACCUCCUAACAGUCUGGCCCGUUUCAACGGUACCCACACCCGCCACAAAAUGAUUAUACGCCGUAUGUUUAAUCAUCGUCAAUACCACAGCCCGAAACAACCCCACGUCCAUCAAUCG